AUUGAACGCUGGCGGCAGGCCUAACACAUGCAAGUCGAACGGUAACAGGAAGAAGCUUGCUUAUUUGCUGACGAGUGGCGGACGGGUGAGUAAUGUCUGGGAAACUGCCUGAUGGAGGGGGAUAACUACUGGAAACGGUAGCUAAUACCGCAUAACGUCGCAAGACCAAAGAGGGGGACCUUCGGGCCUCUUGCCAUCGGAUGUGCCCAGAUGGGAUUAGCUAGUAGGUGGGGUAACGGCUCACCUAGGCGACGAUCCCUAGCUGGUCUGAGAGGAUGACCAGCCACACUGGAACUGAGACACGGUCCAGACUCCUACGGGAGGCAGCAGUGGGGAAUAUUGCACAAUGGGCGCAAGCCUGAUGCAGCCAUGCCGCGUGUAUGAAGAAGGCCUUCGGGUUGUAAAGUACUUUCAGCGGGGAGGAAGGGGGUAAAGUUAAUACCUUUGCUCAUUGACGUUACCCGCAGAAGAAGCACCGGCUAACUCCGUG
rnacentral:rRNA from 1 species